ensembl:scaRNA
GGUCAGUGAUGUGAUGUAAAAGGUCUGAUGGCUAGGUGUCCUGCCAGUUGCCCUUUAGCCUUCCAGCAGUUCCUGCUCUUACUUUUCCCAGCAUGCUCCAGUAGUGCACUGUUGAGGUUGACUUGCUGCUGAUAAUCAUGGACAUCUGCCAUCUGUGUGUCUCCUGUAAAAGUCCCAGGGACACCCUGACUUGUGUCCAAAAGUGGUGGCUCUGGUGUUGGGCGGGCCAGUAUGAUCUAGCGUUUUAUGCUGAGACC